GAUGAACGCUGGCGGCGUGCCUAAUACAUGCAAGUCGAGCGAAUGGAUUAAGAGCUUGCUCUUAUGAAGUUAGCGGCGGACGGGUGAGUAACACGUGGGUAACCUGCCCAUAAGACUGGGAUAACUCCGGGAAACCGGGGCUAAUACCGGAUAACAUUUUGAACCGCAUGGUUCGAAAUUGAAAGGCGGCUUCGGCUGUCACUUAUGGAUGGACCCGCGUCGCAUUAGCUAGUUGGUGAGGUAACGGCUCACCAAGGCAACGAUGCGUAGCCGACCUGAGAGGGUGGUCGGCCACACUGGGACUGAGACACGGCCCAGACUCCUACGGGAAGCAGCAGUAGGGGAUCUUCCGCAAUGGGCGAAAGUCUGACGGAGCAAAGCCGCGUGAGUGAUGAAGGCUUUCGGGUCGUAAAACUCUGUUGUUAGGGAAGAACAAGUGCUAGUUGAAUAAGCUGGCACCUUGACGGUACCUAACCAGAAAGCCACGGCUAACUACGUGCCAGCCGCCGCCGUAA
rnacentral:rRNA from 1 species